GCUGGGUGCAGUGGUGCGCACCUGUAAUCCCAGCAACUCAGAGGCCAAGGUAGGAGGAUCACAAAUUUGAGGCCAGCCUGAAUAACUCAGCAAGACCCUGACCUCUGUGCUGCAGACAUUUUGGCUCCAGGACUCCUUGCUGUGGGGCUGUCCUGUGCAUUGCAGGAUGCUUAGCUGCAUCCUGGCCUUGACGGACUAGAUGCUGGUGGCACACCCUCCCUCUU
rnacentral:sRNA from 1 species